rnacentral:ncRNA from 2 species
UCGUAACAAGGUUUCCGUAGGU